rnacentral:rRNA from 1 species
GAUGAACGCUGGCGGCGUGCCUAAUACAUGCAAGUCGAGCGAAAAGACGAGGAGCUUGCUCCUCUGACGUUAGCGGCGGACGGGUGAGUAACACGUGGAUAACCUACCUAUAAGACUGGGAUAACUUCGGGAAACCGGAGAUAAUACCGGAUAAUAUAUUGAACCGCAUGGUUCAAUAGUGAAAGUCGGUUUUGCUGGCACUUAUAGAUGGAUCCGCGCCGCAUUAGCUAGUUGGUAAGGUAACGGGUUACCAAGGCAACGAUGCGUAGCCGACCUGAGAGGGUGAUCGGCGACACUGGAACUGAGACACGGUCCAUACUCCUACGGGAGGCAGCAGUAUGGAAUCUUCCGCAAUGGUCGAAAGCCUGACGGAGCAACGCCGCGUGAGUGAUGAAGGUCUUCGGAUCGUAAAACUCUGUUAUUAGUGAAGAACAAAUGUGUAAGUAACUAUGCACGUCUUGACGGUACCUGAUCAGAAAGCCACGGCUAACUACGUG